UCUGUUACCCUCACAAGUCCAGCCAAAAAGCCGCACCGGUGUGGUUGAAAAUGAGCCACCGCCGCCGCUUCCUUCCCCCACGUCGGCGGUCUCUCUCCACCGCGAGCCGCCCUCCUCCUUCCCCGACGCCGGCCGCCUCCCUCCACCACGCGCCGCCGUCCUCCUUCCCCGACGCCGGCCGCCGCCCACUACCACGCGCCGCCCUCCUCCUUCCCCGGCGCCGGCCACCUCCCUCCACUACGCGCCGCUCCUCCUUCCCCGGCGCCGGACGCCUCCUAACACCACACGCCGCCCUCCUCCCCUGCCCCGGCGCCGGCCGCCUGCCUCCACCACGCGCCGCCCUCCUCCAUCCCCUGCGCCGGCCACCUACAUCCAUCGCGCAGAUCCCGCCGCAGCCCCAAAACCUAAACGGCGCCGCCGCUGUCGUCCCGAACAGGAUCGACCCGCCGCUAUCGCUCUGCUGCCGUGUACAACUGUACACGCGGUUCAACGCCUCAGCCCCAGGCCGUUCAAUUCCUCGCCGGCCUGCGGCUCCUCCAUGGACGCCUAGCUCCUCUACUAGAGCCACUGCGGCCGACGGCAGCCCAUGGCGGCGGAGUUCGUUGCGUCCAUCAGUCCAACCCCAUGGCUUCAGGGUGGCCGAUUUUUGUCGCGGCCGUCAGUUCGGACACCUGUGUCACUGCGUGCGUUGCUACCACGGCCAUUUGCGUCACUACGUGCUCCGUCACCGGCCUCAUGCGCACCGUGACCCCUGGCGCACUCCUUCCUCUCCCUGACGCUGCUCGUGCCCUCCCAGGCUUGAUCUCCUGCUGCAGCGAUGAGCUCCUGUACAUUGCUGAAGUUUCGUACCUGACGGCACCAGCACGAGGAUGCAGCAGCCAGGCUGGACCCCGUGAACUGUGAUGCUCUACUGAUGGAGAGAAGUUUGGGAAACUGCACAAAUAUUGGUAUUUUGGGAGUUAUGAAUUUGGUGCUCCGUAGGUGCCUGCUGGUAUAUGCAAGUGCUUAAAAGUAUUUAGGUGGGUGGUCCGACACCGCUGUGUCCAGCAGUCCAACACCGCCACCGGAGGCCGUUCACUGUCGCAAUGCCUACUUUCGCCCGCGCCUCCUUCCCAGUCAUCGUGAGACCUGACGGAACAAGGCAGAACCUCUCUCUCGGAUGUUGCAACAGUUCGACUCACAGAGCUAGUAAGUUCGACGAAAAAACAGCACAAGGCAUGUCAGUUCGCGCAGAGCAUAUCAGUCUUUCAGUUCGUGAGCUCAUCAGUUCACCGAUGGGAUCCGCAGCUCCCAGGCGGUUCACAACCGCCGCCCUAGUCCGUUCAUCACUGCCAAUCGAGGCCGUUCGACAACGCAGCGUUGAGGUCGGUCAACGACGCAAUGUGGCCAUGGAUGCGCCCAACGAAGGACAGCGAAAGGCAAAAAACAAACUAGUGCAGCUGCUUGCCUCCACUUCAUAUCCCAUACCAGAAAACAUCCGUCGGCCCCUCUGUUUUCUUAAUUCAAUUCUCAGGAAUUCAAGUCCAUGCGCCGCCCGCACAUCCAUCCACCGGCGCCGCCCCCGAACCCAGUCACCGGCGUCGGCCGCGGACCCAACCACCGCCGCCGCCCUCGGACCCAGCUACCGCCGCCGCCCCCCGGACCCAGCCACUGCCGCCGCACUCCGACCAGCCACCUCCGCCGCCCCCAAACCUAUCCACCUCCAUGGGCAACUGUUGCCGGCACUCUGCACCCACCCCCCCUCCGCACACCCAGCUCCCGCCAUCCGACGCGCUCUGCUUCCAACUUGCGCGGCCGGGAACCAGCCCCCGUCGCCCCUACGCACUACUUCCUCCCAUGCCCGUCCUGGUAUGGCGGUCACGCCAGUCCAGCUCUUCCUCCCUUCUCCGUCCGAGCUCUCCUGCCAUGCUCCUUCACGCACGACCUUCUGCCAGCACCAGUGCACGCCGCUACACUGGUUCUUUUGGGGUUCAUUCAUCUGAUUUUAUUUUGUUUCCUAUUAUACUAGUUCAGAUGAGGUUCCUUGCUGCCUGAUGGAUAUUUGAUAAAGGUAGUUGUCCUCAGUGUUCCUAUUUGGCAUAUGCAAGUUGUUUGAUGUAAUGUGCAUGAGAAAAAUCAUCUUCUGUAUGUGGACUGACUGAAAAGUUGUGCUGCACUUUUGUAUUUUGGUGAUGUAAGUCAACAAGAGAUCGAUGUGUGUGGUGACAAAUUGCAGAAUUUCGAGUCGGACAAUUGCAAAAAUUCAGAGGAGACAACGCGGGAAGUUCAAAGAAAAUUCGGACUUGUGCAGUGGUGAAGGAGGAAGCAGCAGUGCCGCCGGGUCCAGGAUUCCAGGUGGUUCAACGUGUCGAGCGGUAGCAGCGCUUGCUCCCAAUGGUUGCCCGCGCAAGGAGGAUACAGGGAUGUUACAUUGCUGGAGGAGCAGUAGCAUGUAGUAGCUAGCUGAAGAAAAGCCAGCGGCCUGCUCUGGCCAUGCCGCACCACCACUGGCACGUCCACCAUGGUUGCUGGCAGCCGUCCAAGUUGAGCGCUGAUGGGAGUCCUUAGCGUGCUUCAACGACACUCUCUCAUAUCAAUCUCUCUCUUUCUUUGCUCCUGCUAUUAAAAUGUGUAGAUGUGCUGCUUUGCUAAUUGAGUAGUUGGGAAGAUGUGAAAAGAACAUGCUCUCUAGGUGUGUGAUUAUUCCUGUGAGCACAAAUGUAUUUAAAUGUUUAUUUUGUGCUUCAGCUUAUGCUUUUGGGCAGUACAAAUACAUCUUAAAAAAUAAGUAGAUGCGGUCUUAUAGAACUCUAAUUGUUGUUGGAUGCUAUUCCAAAUGCCAAUGAUCAUGCAAAACGGUUAUUGCUAGAAUCUAGAUGAUAUGUAAUGUAGUUACCAUAGUUUCACCCUAUUUUUAUGGUUCUAAUUAUUGUUGCAUAAGUCUUUAAAACAAAUGUUCGGUAAAUGUUUGUGAUCAUUGCUUGUAGGUAUUCGUAUGAACAUUAAAAUAAUGGCUUUUCUUGUAGGAGGUUCAAAGAUUGUCGUGGAGCAAGUUCAAGAGAUUAGUUUGGUGAAAAUAAUGUGAUCUUUUGGUCAGGAUUUUGCAUGAUCCAUAGCCAUCAGGCGAGCAGUUCAAGGCCUACUACGCGAGUCGUCCAUCGUCUUCUACACCCAUGAUGAGCUUGUUGUCUCUAUACAUCUAGCAUCGGAGUAUCUCCUCCCCUUGCCGCACACACAUGCCCGCGGUCGAGCUAGUGUUGUUUGUGAUUGCUGGUCGUGACUAUUACGUUGCCAUUGGACAAAUAAUUUGUUCUGUAACUCUGUAUUGAUGGGACCUUCAGCAUAUAUGGUGUUUAGAAUUUGUUUGUAACUGUACUGCCGGGACGUUCAGCAUAUAUGGUGAUCUCAGUAUUCUAAUCUGUAGGCCAAAAAUGGUGAACAUUUAAACAUCAGUUCGAUUUAAUAAAACCGAGAAGUUCUACUUUUGGUAAA